AUGGGCGCAAGCCUGAUGCAGCCAUGCCGCGUGUGUGAAGAAGGCCUUCGGGUUGUAAAGCACUUUCAGCGGGGAGGAAGGCGAUAAGGUUAAUAACCUUGUCGAUUGACGUUACCCGCAGAAGAAGCACCGGCUAACUCCGUGCCAGCAGCCGCGGUAAUACGGAGGGUGCAAGCGUUAAUCGGAAUUACUGGGCGUAA
rnacentral:rRNA from 1 species